AGCUUUAUAGUUUAUAAGAAAACGUUUGUUUGUGGGGUAAAAGAAUAAGGAGCUA
rnacentral:tRNA from 1 species